rnacentral:ncRNA from 2 species
GCGAUACGUAACGUAAGCGAUGCGUAAGUUACGCAUCGCAAAAAAAGAGGAAGUCCGGUGAAAAUCCGGCGCUGACCCGCAACCGUAAUGGAUAAUCUUGUUUGGGGCCGCAGGCCCCAAACAAGAUUAUCCUAAGUCGGGAACUCUUGUUGCUGCACCCCGAGGACA